UACGUAGGGAGCGAGCGUUGUCCGGAAUUACUGGGUGUAAAGGGAGCGUAGGCGGGGAUGCAAGUUGGGUGUCAAAACUACCGGCUCAACUGGUAGUCGCACUCAAAACUGUAGCUCUUGAGUGAAGUAGAGGCAGGCGGAAUUCCUAGUGUAGCGGUGAAAUGCGUAGAUAUUAGGAGGAACACCAGUGGCGAAGGCGGCCUGCUGGGCUUUUACUGACGCUGAGGCUCGAAAGUGUGGGGAGCAAACAGG
rnacentral:rRNA from 1 species